UGGAUCAUGCCAAUUAUUGUUGAAAACGGCAGAUAUAUUGAUAGAGACUUUCACAAGCAAAUAUUUGAAAGAAUUAUCAAAUUUUUGUCAAGUUUCCAUAUUUAUAGUUGAAUAAUUUUAGUAUAUUUUCUUGUUAUUAAGUUAUAUCUUUUAUAUAUAUGAUUUUUUUAUUGAGUUUAAUGCUCAAAUCAGGUGUGAGCCCUGUACAUACUUCUAUAGUAUUAUAUGUGAUAUGGCAUGAAAUUAAUAUACCUAUUGC
rnacentral:lncRNA from 1 species